GGGUUGUGAGGUUAAGCGACUAAGCGUACACGGUGGAUGCCCUGGCAGUCAGAGGCGAUGAAGGACGUGCUAAUCUGCGAUAAGCGUCGGUAAGGUGAUAUGAACCGUUAUAACCGGCGAUUUCCGAAUGGGGAAACCCAGUGUGUUUCGACACACUAUCAUUAACUGAAUCCAUAGGUUAAUGAGGCGAACCGGGGGAACUGAAACAUCUAAGUACCCCGAGGAAAAGAAAUCAACCGAGAUUCCCCCAGUAGCGGCGAGCGAACGGGGAGCAGCCCAGAGCCUGAAUCAGUGUGUGUGUUAGUGGAAGCGUCUGGAAAGGCGCGCGAUACAGGGUGACAGCCCCGUACACAAAAAUGCACAUGCUGUGAGCUCGAUGAGUAGGGCGGGACACGUGGUAUCCUGUCUGAAUAUGGGGGGACCAUCCUCCAAGGCUAAAUACUCCUGACUGACCGAUAGUGAACCAGUACCGUGAGGGAAAGGCGAAAAGAACCCCGGCGAGGGGAGUGAAAAAGAACCUGAAACCGUGUACGUACAAGCAGUGGGAGCACGCUUAGGCGUGUGACUGCGUACCUUUUGUAUAAUGGGUCAGCGACUUAUAUUCUGUAGCAAGGUUAACCGAAUAGGGGAGCCGAAGGGAAACCGAGUCUUAACUGGGCGUUAAGUUGCAGGGUAUAGACCCGAAACCCGGUGAUCUAGCCAUGGGCAGGUUGAAGGUUGGGUAACACUAACUGGAGGACCGAACCGACUAAUGUUGAAAAAUUAGCGGAUGACUUGUGGCUGGGGGUGAAAGGCCAAUCAAACCGGGAGAUAGCUGGUUCUCCCCGAAAGCUAUUUAGGUAGCGCCUCGUGAAUUCAUCUCCGGGGGUAGAGCACUGUUUCGGCAAGGGGGUCAUCCCGACUUACCAACCCGAUGCAAACUGCGAAUACCGGAGAAUGUUAUCACGGGAGACACACGGCGGGUGCUAACGUCCGUCGUGAAGAGGGAAACAACCCAGACCGCCAGCUAAGGUCCCAAAGUCAUGGUUAAGUGGGAAACGAUGUGGGAAGGCCCAGACAGCCAGGAUGUUGGCUUAGAAGCAGCCAUCAUUUAAAGAAAGCGUAAUAGCUCACUGGUCGAGUCGGCCUGCGCGGAAGAUGUAACGGGGCUAAACCAUGCACCGAAGCUGCGGCAGCGACGCUGAUGCGUUGUUGGGUAGGGGAGCGUUCUGUAAGCCUGCGAAGGUGUGCUGUGAGGCAUGCUGGAGGUAUCAGAAGUGCGAAUGCUGACAUAAGUAACGAUAAAGCGGGUGAAAAGCCCGCUCGCCGGAAGACCAAGGGUUCCUGUCCAACGUUAAUCGGGGCAGGGUGAGUCGACCCCUAAGGCGAGGCCGAAAGGCGUAGUCGAUGGGAAACAGGUUAAUAUUCCUGUACUUGGUGUUACUGCGAAGGGGGGACGGAGAAGGCUAUGUUGGCCGGGCGACGGUUGUCCCGGUUUAAGCGUGUAGGCUGGUUUUCCAGGCAAAUCCGGAAAAUCAAGGCUGAGGCGUGAUGACGAGGCACUACGGUGCUGAAGCAACAAAUGCCCUGCUUCCAGGAAAAGCCUCUAAGCAUCAGGUAACAUCAAAUCGUACCCCAAACCGACACAGGUGGUCAGGUAGAGAAUACCAAGGCGCUUGAGAGAACUCGGGUGAAGGAACUAGGCAAAAUGGUGCCGUAACUUCGGGAGAAGGCACGCUGAUAUGUAGGUGAAGUCCCUUGCGGAUGGAGCUGAAAUCAGUCGAAGAUACCAGCUGGCUGCAACUGUUUAUUAAAAACACAGCACUGUGCAAACACGAAAGUGGACGUAUACGGUGUGACGCCUGCCCGGUGCCGGAAGGUUAAUUGAUGGGGUCAGCGCAAGCGAAGCUCUUGAUCGAAGCCCCGGUAAACGGCGGCCGUAACUAUAACGGUCCUAAGGUAGCGAAAUUCCUUGUCGGGUAAGUUCCGACCUGCACGAAUGGCGUAAUGAUGGCCAGGCUGUCUCCACCCGAGACUCAGUGAAAUUGAACUCGCUGUGAAGAUGCAGUGUACCCGCGGCAAGACGGAAAGACCCCGUGAACCUUUACUAUAGCUUGACACUGAACAUUGAGCCUUGAUGUGUAGGAUAGGUGGGAGGCUUUGAAGUGUGGACGCCAGUCUGCAUGGAGCCGACCUUGAAAUACCACCCUUUAAUGUUUGAUGUUCUAACGUGGACCCGUGAUCCGGGUUGCGGACAGUGUCUGGUGGGUAGUUUGACUGGGGCGGUCUCCUCCUAAAGAGUAACGGAGGAGCACGAAGGUUGGCUAAUCCUGGUCGGACAUCAGGAGGUUAGUGCAAUGGCAUAAGCCAGCUUGACUGCGAGCGUGACGGCGCGAGCAGGUGCGAAAGCAGGUCAUAGUGAUCCGGUGGUUCUGAAUGGAAGGGCCAUCGCUCAACGGAUAAAAGGUACUCCGGGGAUAACAGGCUGAUACCGCCCAAGAGUUCAUAUCGACGGCGGUGUUUGGCACCUCGAUGUCGGCUCAUCACAUCCUGGGGCUGAAGUAGGUCCCAAGGGUAUGGCUGUUCGCCAUUUAAAGUGGUACGCGAGCUGGGUUUAGAACGUCGUGAGACAGUUCGGUCCCUAUCUGCCGUGGGCGCUGGAGAACUGAGGGGGGCUGCUCCUAGUACGAGAGGACCGGAGUGGACGCAUCACUGGUGUUCGGGUUGUCAUGCCAAUGGCACUGCCCGGUAGCUAAAUGCGGAAGAGAUAAGUGCUGAAAGCAUCUAAGCACGAAACUUGCCCCGAGAUGAGUUCUCCCUGACCCUUUAAGGGUCCUGAAGGAACGUUGAAGACGACGACGUUGAUAGGCCGGGUGUGUAAGCGCAGCGAUGCGUUGAGCUAACCGGUACUAAUGAACCGUGAGGCUUAACCUUACAACGCCGAAG
rnacentral:rRNA from 1 species